rnacentral:rRNA from 1 species
CCUACGGGAGGCUGCAGUGGGGAAUAUUGCACAAUGGAGGGAACUCUGAUGCAGCGACGCCGCGUGAGUGAAGAAGGUCUUCGGAUCGUAAAACUCUGUCCUUGGUGAAGAUAAUGACGGUAGCCAAGGAGGAAGCCCCGGCUAACUACGUGCCAGCAGCCGCGGUAAUACGUAGGGGGCGAGCGUUGUCCGGAUUUACUGGGCGUAAAGGGUGAGUAGGCGGUUGUAUAUGUCAGGUGUAAAAGGCUAUGGCUUAACCAUGGUUAGCACUUGAAACUGUACAACUUGAGUGCAGGAGAGGUAAGUGGAAUUCCUAGUGUAGCGGUGAAAUGCGUAGAUAUUAGGAGGAACACCAGUGGCGAAGGCGACUUACUGGACUGUAACUGACGCUGAGGCACGAAAGCGUGGGUAGCAAACAGGAUUAGAUACCCCUGUAGUC